CAAACCGGACUUUACCUAGAACUGGCUGUUUUCAGGGAAAUCACAUGCACAUAUGCUGUUGAUAAGAAAUGCAAAUCGAAGGCGAUAACGUUCAAACAAAAUUUAGAACGAUGUGACGUUGUUGAGAACAAGGAUAUAAUUCGGCGGAUGCUGGACAAUGAACUGAUGCCAAGCAGCAAACUUAAACUUCUUGAAGGAGACAAUUCCAAACAGCUUGGUCUGCAAUGUCUUCUUGUCCACUUCCUAUCGAUGAUGCUUAGAACAAAUGAAGGAUCGUCCGUUGUUCUGCCAUUUCAAUUGUUGAUGAAAAGUCCUGAAACU